CUUUCUCUGUAUCUCUGCUUAAUAAAUUUCUAUCACUUUGUUCACUCUCUAUUGUCCAUGAGAUUCUUUGACUUUAUGAGACAAGAACCAAGCUCUCCCAUACCAAGGUGAUAUAUAUGCAUGUUGAAAAUUCUUGGAAACAUAUGCUAUGGAGUUCUGGGGACACUCCUCUACCAGAGAAGUCUCUACGUGGAUAAUACCUCCAACAUUCUGAUGUCUUUGUCAACUAUCAUAUUCUUAAUAAGGCUUAGGGAUCAAUUUAUUACAAUUGUGAGCCCUUCUUCCAUCACAAGUGCUUUUAGUGUCCUAUCUAGGUGAAGAUACAAGAUACGAGAUACAAGCUUGUGGUUAUGGAAUCAAUAAGUAAGUCACAGGAAUUCAAAGUACAUCACAAGGAGUAUCUUCAAUGGUAUUUUAAUAACAUUGUAUGGUAAUAUAUGGUAGCGACCCUUGUGAGCAUAGCUUGUUG
rnacentral:lncRNA from 1 species